UGGGGAAUCUUGCGCAAUGGGCGAAAGCCUGACGCAGCGACGCCGCGUGUGGGAUGAAGGUCUUCGGAUUGUAAACCACUGUCGGGAGGGACGAAGCUCUGACGGUACCUCCAAAGGAAGCACCGGCUAACUCUGUGCCAGCAGCCGCGGUAAUACAGAGGGUGCGAGCGUUGUCCGGAAUCACUGGGCGUAAAGGGCGCGUAGGCGGCCUGGUAAGUAGGGGGUGAAAUCUCAUGGCUCAACUGUGAGGCUGCCUUCUAGACUGCCAGGCUUGAGCACAGUAGAGGCGAGUGGAAUUCCCGGUGUAGCGGUGGAAUGCGUAGAGAUCGGGAAGAACAUCGGUGGCGAAGGCGGCUCGCUGGGCUGUUGCUGACGCUGAGGCGCGAAAGCGUGGGGAGCAAACAGGAUUAGAUACCCUUGUAGUCCCUGAGCGGGCUGGCAAGGCGCAU
rnacentral:rRNA from 1 species